AUACGGAGGAUCCAAGCGUUAUCCGGAAUCAUUGGGUUUAAAGGGUCCGUAGGCGGGUUUGUAAGUCAGUGGUGAAAGUUUUCGGCUCAACCGGAAAAUUGCCAUUGAUACUGCAGGUCUUGAAUUAUUGUGAAGUGAUUAGAAUGUGUAGUGUAGCGGUGAAAUGCAUAGAUAUUACACAGAAUACCGAUUGCGAAGGCAGAUCACUAACAGUAUAUUGACGCUGAGGGACGAAAGCGUGGGGAGCGAACAGGAUUAGAAACCCGAGUAGUCC
rnacentral:rRNA from 1 species